UCAUAGCGCCAAGAAUGAUCUAAAAUUCUAAUUCCUUCGCCCAGCAGUAAUCUAUCCCAUGGCGGAAACGGACACGGCGGGCCCUCCGACCACAGAUUCUACUCCUUCUUGGUUCACCCCCAAAAGGGAAUGGUGCUGAGGUAACAAUGUGAGAAUUAAUUUUGGAAAUUCCGAGAUAUCUGGUCAAUGGCAUUGCUAGUAAACAUGGGUCACCUGGAACUCAAUUGGUGGAAUAGUCAUUCUGUAAAGUCGCAUAUUGUCCUGUUUUAUCUGUCAGUCCAUCCCUCUGGUUUUGACUUUGGUUACUUGAUAGUUGAUAUCUUUUGUUUGCAAUGAUUCUUCCCAAUAAUUUAACAAAGGCUCUUUUUCAAUUUUCCUGUGGUCGUAAGUUCAAAGACAGGGCCAAGGACUUGUAGGGCAAUACCGUUGAAAUGCUUUUUUGGGAAGAACGAGCGGAGAGACUUCUUAAAAUCAAAGAAGCAUAAAGGAAUUUAUGGAAUUUAACUAGAUUCCUUGGGUUGAAUUAGCUUCUUGCUGUCUUUUGUGUAAUUAACUUGUUAAAUUACUUGGAUCGAGGAGCAAUAGCUAGCAAUGGUGUGAAUGGAAGUCAAGGAAGUUGCACUGCAAGUGGUACAUGCACAUCUGGUACUGGGAUACAAGGCGAGUUUAGCUUGACCAAUUUUGAGGAUGGUGUUCUUUCUUCAAGUUUCAUGGUUGGACUUUUGGUUGCUUGUCCAAUAUUUGCAACACUAGCAGAACGUGUUAACCCAUUUAGGCUAAUUGGGGUUGGAUUAUCAGUUUGGACUUUUGCUGUUAUUGGUUGUGCUGCUUCAUUUAAUUUCUGGUCCAUCACAAUAUGCCGCAUGUUGGUAGGUGUUGGUGAAGCAUCAUUUGUAAGUCUUGCUGCACCAUUCAUCGACGACAAUGCACCUGCUGCUCAGAAAACAGCUUGGCUUGGAAUAUUUUACAUGUGUAUACCGAGUGGGUAUGCAGUUGGCUAUAUCUUUGGUGGACUGGUUGGGGGUAAUUAUAGUUGGCGCAUUGCUUUUAUUGGAGAGGCCAUAUUGAUGCUUCCAUUUGCUGUUCUGGGGUUUGUUAUAAAGCCUUUGCAGUUGAAAGGAUUUUCUUCUUCUGGAUCAUAUGGAAAGCUGCGAUCUGUGGAUUUGGUUGCUUCGGAUGUUCAAGUUUACUUGUCUAUGAACUCAGAGACGGAAGCUUCAUAUGGUAAUGGUGGUGCAUUCUCCAUUGCUGAAGAUAGCUCAGCAAAAUCUUCCAGUCUAGCUACUAAUGCGAGGAAUCAGCUCUCAAAAUUCGUGAAAGAAAUCAAAGAACUUUUGGUUAAUAAGGUUUAUGUUAUUAACGUUUUAGGUUAUAUUGCAUAUACUUUUGUCCUAGGCGCGUAUUCAUAUUGGGGACCUAAAGCUGGUUACAGCAUCUAUCAUAUGGACAAUGCUGACUUGAUCUUUGGAGGAAUAACGGUUGUGUCUGGAGUAUUCGGCUCGCUAGGAGGAGGCUAUGUCCUAGAUUUUAUGAGCAACACCAUCUCAAAUGGUUUCAAGCUUCUCUCUGCAACAACCUUUAUCGGUGCAAUACUUUGCUUCAGUGCCUUCUGUUUUAAGAAUGUUUAUGUCUACCUAGCCCUGUUUGCAAUUGGUGAACUAUUUGUUUUUGCUAUUCAGGGUCCUGUAAAUUAUAUCAAUCUGGAGGCCGUUAAACCAAGUCUGCGACCAUUAUCUAUGGCUAUGUCUACUGUUGCAAUCCACAUCUUCGGAGAUGUGCCAUCCUCACCUCUUGUUGGAGUUCUUCAGGACUAUAUUAACAAUUGGAGGGUGUCUGCUCUUAUUCUGACAGCUAUUUUGUUUCCAACCGCUCUAGUAUGGUUUGUUGGUGUAUUUCUACCCAUUGUAGGCUCAUCGGAUGGAAACGAUCAUCUUGAAGAUUCCGCAACCAACCAGUCGAGCACAACACCAUUACUCGAAGGAAGGUUAAUUAAGAUAGCUGAAUCUUCUUCUGAACCAUAAAUGGUUUUCAUUUCUUCUCUCUCGUUCCAUGCUUGUGGACUGCUGGGUUUUUCGUGGCUUUCUCAUUGCUGUUCUUAUAAUGUAGAUGUUGUAUCCAAGCUCUUAUGGUUUCUGAUGUUAUUGUUCUUAGAAUUACCAACAGUUUAGUUUUGUAUUGUUGGAGAACUUGAAUGUAUUCAUCUCUUUCUCUAAAGCCUCCUAUAUACUCGAAAGUAUAAGAAAUCUGUGUUCAUAUUAAUAUGCAAUAUAUCACUGUAAAAUGUUAGUCAAAUUAACAUCAAGUGUAAUUUAGAUAACUUGAACUGUUUUUAUUGGUUCUAAUAAGGCAUAAUCCAGGCCAUGUUUUGUAA